rnacentral:rRNA from 1 species
GAUGAACGCUGGCGGCGUGCUUAACACAUGCAAGUCGAACGGAAAGGCCCUGCUCUUGCUGCUUGCUCGAGUGGCGAACGGGUGAGUAGCACGCGAGUAACCUCCACUUAUAUGUGGGAUAACUUCAGGAAACUGCGGCGAAUAUCGGAUAGGAGCUCCUGAUGCACGGGGGGGGAUGGAAAGAUUCGGCUGUUUGGGAUGGACUCGCGGCUUAUCAGCUAGUUGGGGGGGUAGUGGCUUACGAAGGCUUUGACGGGUAGCCGGCAUGAGAGGGGGACCGGGGUCAAGGGGACUGCGGUACGGACCAGACUGGUACGGGACGCAGUGGUGGGGAGUAUUGCGGAGCGGGGGGAAGCCUGUGGUAGCAAUGUCGGGUGCGGGAUGACGGGCUACGGGGGGUAAGCAGCUUUGGCAUGUACCGAAGCGUGAUUGACGGUAACUGGUAAGGAAGCACCGGCUAACUACGUG